GCCGAGCCCAGCGUCCAGGCCCUUUGGUUGUCCUGUGGCUGAUACUACGUGCUUACCACUCAGCUGAGCAGCUGCAGGCCAUGUUCUUCUCACUCAAACCCAGGGGGACGCACAGAGCUGGACCAGGGACAGAUGGCCCUGAGGCCCACGGCAGAGGUCACUCAUCUCAGACAGUAAGUUGGGUGCUCAGUUCUUACCCAUGCUUUGAUCCUCUGACCCAAUCAGGCCAAGUGCUGGGGGUGGGAGCUACAGCCUCCAGACAGGGACAAGAACAGGCCGGCACGAGGUCAGAGUGCUGGGCACGGGAGCUACAGCCUCUAGACACGCGGACGAGAACAGGCCGGCACGAGGUCGGAGUGCUGGGGUGUGGGAGCUACAGCCUCUAGACAUGGACGAGAACAGGCCGGCAUGAGGUCGGAGUGCUGAGGCGUGGGAGCUACAGCCUCUAGACACGGACGAGAACAGGCCGGCACGAGGUCAGAGUGCUGGGGCACGGGAGCUACAGCCUCUAGACAUGGACGAGAACAGGCCGGCACGAGGUCAGAGUGCUGAGGCGUGGGAGCUACAGCCUCUAGACAUGGACGAGAACAGGCCGGCACGAGGUAAGAGUGCUGAGGCGUGGGAGCUACAGCCUCUAGACACGGACGAGAACAGGCCGGCACGAGGUCGGAGUGCUGGGGCGUGGGAGAUACAGCCUCUAGACACGGACGAGAACAGGCCGGCACGAGGUCAGAGUGCUGAGGCGUGGGAGCUACAGCCUCUAGACACGGACGAGAACAGGCCGGCAUGAGGUCAGAGUGCUGGGCGUGGGAGCUACAGCCUCUAGACAUGGACGAGAACAGGCCGGCACGAGGUCAGAGUGCUGAGGCGUGGGAGCUACAGCCUCUAGACAUGGACGAGAACAGGCCGGCACGAGGUCGGAGUGCUGGGGCGUGGGAGAUACAGCCUCUCGACGCGGACGAGAACAGGCCGGCACGAGGUCGGAGUGCUGGGGCGUGGGAGCUACAGCCUCUAGACGCGGACGAGAACAGGCCAGCACGAGGUCGGAGUGCUGGGGCGUGGGAGAUACAGCCUCUAGACAUGGACGAGAACAGGCCGGCAUGAGGUCGGAGUGCUGUGGCACGGGAGCUACAGCCUCUAGACGCGGACAAGAACAGGCCGGCACGAGGUCAGAGUGCUGGGGGUGGGAGCUACAGCCUCUAGACACGCGGACGAGAACAGGCCGGCACGAGGUCAGAGUACUGGGGCGUGGGAGCUACAGCCUCUAGACGCGGACGAGAACAGGCCGGCACGAGGAUCCUAGUGCUGGGGAUGGGAGCUACAGCCUCUAGACAUGGACGAGAACAGGCCAGCACGAGGUCAGAGACCAAGCUCAUCCCUCCCCGGUGCUGCACUGCACACAGCUGGGAGUCUGGGCCCCUGCCCAGCAGGCCUACAUGUCUGCCACCCAGGCCUGGUGUCCUGGCAGCCAGCAUCACCUGUCUCAGCACCAUGUAAAAAUGAAGGGCUGCAAAUGACCUGAGCAAAAUGAGGCACAAAAUUGGAUAAGGGAAUCCCUACUGAGGAAAAGAAACGAGUCUUUCUAAGGAAAAUGGAAAACCACUGAUGCUUUCUGAAAUGACAAGCAGUGGUGCAAAAAAAACCCACUUCCAUGGCAACAAGUUCUGGUGGCCCAAGCAAGGGACACUGGAGUUCCACAGUCUUCACUCCCUAGCGGCACCAACUUCGGCUGAACUUGACCUGACCUUGACCUCACCCCAGAUUCUUUCUUCACUGCGCUUGUCAGAGCCCAGUGGGGUGGCAGGGGAGGCAGAAACGGGCGCCUUGGUCCCUGCUCCCCGGGCACAUCUGACUGUACUUCCUCUGCUAAAAGAUGUCCCUGGCACAAGGCGUGGCGCGGACUCGGCAGAGGUCUUCAUUACAGGUGUGCAAUCAAAAGGAUGAUGAUGGAGCAGUUUUCUCCGGGCUGCGACGUCAGACGCCUCUCUCGGACCUGCGGGAAACACCGUGCCCCGGGCUGGGCAUCUGGCACAGCGGUUAAGUCACCACAGGCUCUGUCUCCUACCCAGCUUCCUGCUGAUGUGCACUGUGGGAGGCCGCAGUGAGGGCUCCAGUCCUAGGGUCCCUGCCACCCACGCAGGAGACCAAGGUGGAGUCUGGCGUCAACCAGCGGAUGGGAUAUCUUCCUCCAGCUCUGUCUCCCGCCUCUCUAAUAAACACAAACACACUGAAACCACAACAGAAUCCAACACAGAAAGGCAUGCUGUCCAGGACAGAGCUGCUGGGCAGCCCAGCUGGGCUAUCCCAGGGAAGACGCAGAGCGUGCGGACGGAAGGGGUCUUUCUGAAGGAUCCGCAGAAGCUCAACAGCAGCGGCAAACCCACAGCUCCCUU